UCGACCUCUAUCAACAAAGGUCUGCCUUUUGCCGCCGCAGUGUAACCACACCAUCACAUCCCUCAACUUUUGCUGUCGUGAACCAUAUUGUCGCAUCCCUCAACUUUUAUUGCAUGUGAGCCACAACAGCAUUUGCUACACUAAACUUUUGCAAGUAGUCUUCAGCCAUGAUGAAACUGACAAAUUUGGCUAAAGCAAUCAAAGACAUGAGGAAAGUGGCAAAUUUGGCUAAUGGAAUCAAAUAGGGGUAUGUAAUGCAAUUCGCCACCAUUCCACAGUUACCAAACUGUAGAAAUUUUAUGGAAUCCAUCAAUUUGGCUAGAGCAAUAAGAGAAGGGUAUGUAACACAAUUCACCACCAUUCCACAUUUACCAAACCAUAAAAAUUCUGUGGAAUCCAUCAAUUUGGCUAGAGCAAUCAGAGAG